GUGCUUGCUUUGGCAGAACAUGUACUAAAACUGGAAUGAUGCAGAGAAGAUUAGCAUGACCCCUGCGCGAGGAUGACACGCAAAUUCGUGAAGUGUUCCAUCUUUUU